rnacentral:rRNA from 1 species
UACGUAGGGGGCAAGCGUUGUCCGGAUUCAUUGGGCGUAAAGAGCGUGUAGGCGGCCAGGUAGGUCGGUUGUGAAAACUCGAGGCUCAACCUCGAGACGCCGAUGGAAACCAUCAGACUAGAGUCCGGAAGAGGAGAGUGGAAUUCCUGGUGUAGCGGUGAAAUGCGCAGAUAUCAGGAAGAACACCCGUGGCUAAGGCGGCUCUCUAGUACGGUACUGACGCUGAGACGCGAAAGCGUGGGGAGCGAACAGG